AAGCGCAGAGGGAAGGGGGGACAGAGGAUCCAAAGUUGCCUCUGCGCUGUCAGCGUGAGCAGGACUCGAACGCAGCGUGCGGACUUACAAACUGUGAGAUUGUGACCUGAGCCAAAGUCGGACACUCAACUGACUGAGUCACCCAGGCGCCCAUUAUGACUCUAUUUCUUAAGUCACUGCACUGUGAGUCUAUGCUUUCAAGAACUACAGCCCCACUGGUUUCCAUCGUGGGUCAUGGUGAUUGUGCCCCAUAAGCCCAGACACACUGCAGCUGCUGACAGCUUCGAGGCUGGUCAUUGGAGAAGGUCAGAACACUGGGACGUCCCCCGGCUGACACACCACAGGCUCCCCAUAGUCAGGUCUAGAAAGAUCUUUGAUUCCCAACCAUUCUGCAAAUGGAAAAAGAAAAUGAAGUCCAUCGGAUCCUGCCCUGACCUCUAGGGGUCCAUGGACCACAGGUGGAGACCUCUAAGACAGCGGCAGAGGGUUCCAAGGACAAGGGAUCUCUCAGGAGGCAUUGGGAUCUGCUCUGCCUUGUCAUUCUGCCCUUGGAGAUUGUGUCCUACCUCGUACGCACCCACGUGACCAUGCCCUACGGAGUCUCUUCUGGGGAGCCCCACCUUCUCCAAGGCUGCUUCCAGGGAGGAGCUGCAGUCCGGGAGGAAGGUCACCA